rnacentral:rRNA from 1 species
AUGGAGAUUGCCAUGGGGGCCAUCGGCCCUCUCCUCCCAAAGCUUACAAGCCUGCUCGUCGGCGAGUUCACGCUGGAGAAACGAGUCAGGAAAGGCAUCGAGUCUCUCGUGACAGAGCUCACAUUGAUGCAUGCCGCCCUCCGCACGGUGGCGAAAGUGCCGCCAGAGGAGCUCGGUGAGGGGGUCAAGAUUUGGAGAGGAAAGGUGAAGGAGUUAUCCUACCAAAUGGAAGACAUCAUUGACACCUUCAUGGUUCAUGUGGAGGGCGGUGGUGAGGCUGCCAACCCGAAGAACAGAGUCAAAAAUUUGCUCAAGAAGACCAUCAAAUUAUUCAAGAAGGGCAAGAGUCUGCAUGGGAUAUCUGAUGCUCUAGAAGAAGCGGUUGGUCAGGCUAAACAAUUGGCUGAGCUGCAUCAAAGGUAUGAGCUUGUGCAUCACACCCCUGUUAGUGCUAGCAUUGAUCCUCGUGUCAUGGCUUUAUACAAAGAUGUGACAGAGCUCAUUGGCAUUGAAGAUACACGUGAUGAGUUGAUCAACAUGUUGAUUGGGGGUGAUGAUUGGUUGAACCAUCCACUGAAGGUGAUCUCUAUUGUUGGAUUUGGUGGGUUAGGCAAGACAACUCUGGCCAAAGCAGCGUAUGAUAAGAUCAAAGUGCAAUUUGAUUGUAGUGCUUUUGUUUCAGUUUCUCAGAAUCCUGACAUGAGGAAAAUUUUGAAGGAUAUUCUCUUUGAACUUGACAAGAACAAAUAUGCAAACAUUUAUAAUGCAGUAAGGGAAGAAAAGCAUCUCAUUGACGAGCUCAUUGAAUUCCUUAAUAACAAGAGGUACCUCAUCGUAAUUGAUGACAUAUGGGAUAAAAGGGUGUGGGAAAUAAUCAAGUGUGCAUUUUUCAAGAAAAGUUUUGGAAGCCGACUAAUCACAACAACUCGUAUUGUCAGUGUGUCAGAAGCAUGUUGUUCUUCUAGUGAUGAUAUUUACAGAAUGAAAGCUCUUUCUAUUGAUUUAUCGAGAAAACUCUUCUAUAAAAGAGUAUUUUCUCAUGAACAAGGAUGUCCUCAUGAGUUCGUGCAAGUAUCCGAAGAUAUCUUAAAGAAAUGUGGCGGGAUACCAUUAGCCAUUAAUGUCAUAGCAAGUCUUCUAGCUAGCAAUUGUCAAAUAAAAACAAAGGAUCAAUGGUAUGGUUUUCUCAAUUCAAUUCGUCAUGGACUUACAGAAGAACGCAGUAUGGAGGAGAUGAAGAAGAUAUUAUUACUUAGCUAUUAUGAUCUACCAUUUUAUCUGAAGCCUUGUUUGUUAUAUCUAAGUAUCUUUCCAGAAGAUCACAAGAUUAUGAGAGAUGAACUUAUAUGGCGGUGGAUAGCAGAAGGCUUCAUUUGGAGUGAAAAACAAGAUAGUUUAUAUGAGGUCGGUGAUUGUUAUUUUAAUGAGCUUAUAAAUAGAAACAUGGUCCAACCAAUGGACAUUGAUGCAGAAGAAAGGGUAGUAGCUUGUCGUGUGCAUGACAUGGUUCUUGAUAUCAUAUGUUCCUUGUCAAGUGAAGAAAUUUUUGUCACUAUAUUGGAUGGUACUAACAGAACAGUACCUAAGCUGCAAAGCAAGGUUCGUAGAUUAUCCAUCCACAAGACUAAGAAGGGCAACAUAGAUGUGGUUACAACCAGCAUGAAACAAGUAAGGUCUGUAACUCUUUUUGGAAAUGACACGGUUCACCAAAUGUCGUUUGUUUCAAGUUCUGAAGUUCUGCGUGUAUUGGCUUUAGAAGACUCUACUAUCUCAGAUAUUGGGUACGUGGAGAAUUUGUUACACUUGAGGUACUUAGGGCUAAAGCAUACACAUGCUAAAGAGCUCCCGGUGGAUAUAGGAAAGCUGCAUUUUCUGCAAACAUUGGACUUGAGAGAAACCGAACAUAUAAGGGAAUUGCCAUCAAGCAUUCUUCUGUUAAGAAAUUUGAAGUGUCUAUAUAUCAAUGCGGGUAUAAAGCUGCCAAGUGGGAUAUGUAGCUUAAUAUCCCUAGAAGUGCUAGAUGAGCCGCAGGUGGGUUGUCUAUAUUCUGAGAAAUAUAAUAUGGACAUUGUGAAAGAGGUGUGCCACUUGACCAAGUUGAGGGUGCUUACAAUUUGUUGGAAUUGCUUGGAUGAAAACGUGAAGGAAGCUAUGACGAAAUCCCUAAGUAAUUUCCAUAAAUUGCAAAGUCUUUGUAUUGCGGCCUAUCAAGAUUGUGCCAAUUCCAUGAAGCAAGGAUGGGUGCUCUCUCCACAGCUCCGCAAAUUAUGCUUGAGGGGGCCGGGGUGCUCGUUUGAAACACUGCCGGCGUGGAUUAAUCCGUCAUUGCUUCCACUGCUCUCCUACCUGCGCAUAGUGGUUGAAAAAAUGCGACCGGAGGACAUUCGGCUUCUUGGGAUGUUGCCCGCUCUCCGUUAUCUCAGCUUUAAGAUGGAAUAUUGCUCCUGGACCAUACCAGGAGAGGAUGAAGUGGAGAUGUUGGCCGUUACUGCCGAUGCCUUCCCAUGUGUGACGACGUUACACUGUUUUGGUAUUCCUGUGAGGCCAUCAACAUUCCCACGAGGAGCUGCACCAAGGCUUAAAGACCUUUAUUUCUGCUUACCGGCUAGGUUGAUCACCCAUGGCGACAUUGAUUUAGGCAUGGGGCACCUCCCAUCCCUCGAGACCGUAGAAGUUUACAUUUGGUGCAAGGAAGCCAAUGAUUCAUUAAUGGAUGAAGCAGAGGCUGCGAUGAGGUCUGCAUCGAGUGACCAUCCCAAUCAUCCCCAUCUUUAUUUCAGCAAAUAG